CCCUUAGAUGUUCUGGGCCGCGCGCGUGCUACACUGAGUAAUUCAAUGGGUAAGGGAACGCUAGAGCAUUACCUAAUCUUGAAAUUUGCUCGUGAUGGGGAUCGACGGUUGCAAUUUUCCGUCGUGAACGAGGAAUACCUUGUAGGCGCAUGUCAUCAUCAUGCGCCGAAUACGUCCCUGCCCUUUGUACACACCGCCCGUCGCUCCUACCGAUUGAGUGAUCCGGUGAGGCUCUGGGACCUGGACGGAAAGAGCGUUUCGCUUGUUCUGUUUGGGAAACUUGGUCGAACCUUAUCAUUUAGAGGAAGGAGAAGUCGUAACA
rnacentral:rRNA from 1 species